UACGUAGGCAGCGAGCGUUGUUCGGAGUUACUGGGCGUAAAGGGUGUGUAGGCGGUUGUUUAAGUUUGGUGUGAAAUCUCCCGGCUCAACUGGGAGGGUGCGCCGAAUACUGAAUGACUUGGAGUGUGGGAGAGGUGAGUGGAAUUCCUGGUGUAGCGGUGAAAUGCGUAGAUAUCCGGAGGAACACCGACGGCGCAGGCAGCGUCCUGGCCGCUUGCUGACACUGAGGCACGAAAGCUGGGGGAGCAAACAGG
rnacentral:rRNA from 1 species